UAGGGAAUCUUCCACAAUGGGCGCAAGCCUGAUGGAGCAACACCGCGUGAGUGAAGAAGGGUUUCGGCUCGUAAAGCUCUGUUGUUAAAGAAGAACACGUACGAGAGUAACUGUUCAUACGUUGACGGUAUUUAACCAGAAAGUCACGGCUAACUACGUGCCAG
rnacentral:rRNA from 1 species